UACGUAGGUGGCAAGCGUUGUCCGGAUUUACUGGGUGUAAAGGGCGUGCAGCCGGGAAGACAAGUCAGAUGUGAAAUCCCGCGGCUCAACCGCGGAACUGCAUUUGAAACUGUUUUUCUUGAGUACCGGAGAGGUCAUCGGAAUUCCUUGUGUAGCGGUGAAAUGCGUAGAUAUAAGGAAGAACACCAGUGGCGAAGGCGGAUAACUGGACGGCAACUGACGGUGAGGCGCGAAAGCGUGGGGAGCAAACAGG
rnacentral:rRNA from 1 species